rnacentral:rRNA from 1 species
UACAGAGGUGCCGAGCGUUAGGCGGAAUCACUGGGCUUAAAGCGUGUGUAGGCGGCUUCCUAAGUACCUUGUGAAAUCCCACGGCUUAACCGUGGAACUGCUUGGUAUACUGGGUGUCUUGAGCCAACUAGGGGCGACCGGAACAAACGGUGGAGCGGUGAAAUGCGUAGAUAUCGUUUGGAACGCCAAUGGUGAAAACAGGUCGCUGGGGUUGUGCUGACGCUGAGACACGAAAGCCAGGGGAGCGAACGGG